rnacentral:rRNA from 1 species
AGGCAGCAUUGGGGAAUAUUGCACAAUGGGCGCAAGCCUGAUGCAGCCAUGCCGCGUGUAUGAAGAAGGCCUUCGGGUUGUAAAGUACUUUCAGCAGUGAGGAAGGCAGGUACGUUAAUAGCGUGCUUGUUUGACGUUAGCUGCAGAAGAAGCACCGGCUAACUCCGUGCCAGCAGCCGCGGUAAUACGGAGGGUGCGAGCGUUAAUCGGAAUUACUGGGCGUAAAGCGCAUGCAGGUGGUUUGUUAAGUCAGAUGUGAAAGCCCGGGGCUCAACCUCGGAAUUGCAUUUGAAACUGGCAGACUAGAGUACUGUAGAGGGGGUAGAAUUUCAGGUGUAGCGGUGAAAUGCGUAGAGAUCUGAAGGAAUACCGGUGGCGAAGGCGGCCCCCUGGACAGAUACUGACACUCAGAUGCGAAAGCGUGGGGAGCAAACAGGAUUAGAUACCCUGGUAG